rnacentral:rRNA from 1 species
UACGGUGGGGGCUAGCGUUAUUCGGAAUUACUGGGCGUAAAGCGCACGUAGGCGGAUCGGAAAGUCAGAGGUGAGAUCCCAGGGCUCAACCUUGGAACGGCCUUUGAAACUCCUGGUCUUGAGGUCGAGAGAGGUGAGUGGAAUUCCGAGUGUAGAGGUGAAAUUCGUAGAUAUUCGGAGGAACACCGGAGGCGAAAGCGGCUCUCUGGCCUGUAACUGACACUGAGGGACGAAAGCUAGGGGAGCGAAUGGG